UCUCCUUCAUCUUGUCCUCAAAAAUCCUGCACUUUGUCACCAACUGAUUAAAAUCCGUAAUCUGCAUAUAACUAACCGCCUGUUGGAUCUCCAACCGAAGCCCAUUCUCAAACUGAGCACAUAAAUCUUCCUCAUUCCGAGCAUCUUGGUAUUGAGGCCAAUACUGCAGAAGCUCAUUAAACUUAGCCGUGUACUCCCCAACAGACAUGUUUCCUUGCUUCAAAUCCAG
rnacentral:lncRNA from 1 species